rnacentral:rRNA from 1 species
GCCUACGGGGGGCAGCAGUAGGGAAUCUUCCACAAUGGGCGAAAGCCUGAUGGAGCAACGCCGCGUGGGUGAAGAAGGUCUUCGGAUCGUGAAACCCUGUUGUUAGAGAAGAAAGUGCGUGAGAGUAACUGUUCACGUUUCGGCGGUAUCUAACCAGAAAGCCACGGCUAACUACGUGCCAGCAGCCGCGGUAAUACGUAGGUGGCAAGCGUUAUCCGGAUUUAUUGGGCGUAAAGGGAACGCAGGCGGUCUUUUAAGUCUGAUGUGAAAGCCUUCGGCUUAACCGGAGUAGUGCAGUGGAAACU